rnacentral:misc_RNA from 1 species
GAUGAAGAACGCAGCGAAAUGCGAUAAGUAAUGCGAAUUGCAGAAUUAAGUGAGUCAUCGAAUCUUUGAACGCACAUUGCGCCCUGUGGUAUUCCGCAGGGCAUGCCUGUUCGAGCGUCAUUUCAACCCUCAAGCUCUGCUUGGUGUUGGGCCCUGCCCGCUGCGGCCGGCCCUAAAGACAGUGGCGGUGCCGCCUGGCCCUGAGCGUAGUACAUCUCUCGCUCCAGUGCCCGGUGGUAGCCUGCCAGAACCCCAACUCUCGUGGUUGACCUCGGAUCAGGUAGGGAUACCCGCUGAACUUAAGCAUAUCAAUAAGCGGAGGA